GUUUUGUACAUUCUUUUCAUCAGGUCAGAAUCAUUUAUAACUUCCACUAAGCGAACCCGACCCGGAAAAGAUUCUACCCAUCCCCAUCAGAGACACACCCAGUCGGGCAGUCCCCACCCCGGUUCUAAUCCAGCGCCAUGGUCGCUGAUGAGAGAUGAAUAUCCUCCUUGAGGCGCCGUUCUGUUUCCGACGAAGCCAUUUCCGCUGCGACGCCGUUCCGCGCCUAGGGGCUGCUCGUGGAUUUCCACCAUCUUCAAAUUCAGUUUGAUUCAGGUAACGGUAGACUCAACAAUCUUUCACCUUUGGCUACUCUGGAAAGUCAGAAUGUCAAGUUCAAGGUUUUUAUUCAGUAAUGGCAUUCUAUCAAACACCUUAGAUACACCACCAGUCAAACUCUUCUUAGAAGCACAACCAGGUGCUUACACAACAUCACGUACUCAUAACAAUGCCUCAUGCUUGUUGUUUUGGGAGAGACACAUGAAAAGACUUUCAGAAUCCAUACGAAUUCUAUCAACGCUGGCUCCUCAUCUUCUAUUUAAAUCUAAUAAUUCUGCGAUUGUGCCACCAUCAUCGACAACCUUGCCAAUAUGGCAACCCACUCUACAAAUGCUUGUUGAUGAUUCGAUGCAAAAGGUUAUGCCAAUUGCAAUAAAGGAGAGGGUUGAUUGUCGAGAGCUGGCUGUUACAACUCUUGUGAGUGGUAAUUUGGAGGAAUUGAAUGCAUGUGAGACUAUAGAUGAGGACAGAGUUUGUAAAAUUCUUGAUGUGCAUGUGCAUAUUGAGACUUAUGUGCCUCCUGCAUUUGGUAUCUUGGGAAAUGGUGCACAUUUGGCUUUGGCAGGCUAUGGGAGGCAUGUUGCAAUUGCAAAAUAUUCAGAUUGGGUAAGGAUAAGGAAGAGUCUGGAAAAGCUCAGGCCUCCUUCAGUUACAGAACUGUUGCUAUCUAAUGAUGGUAAUCACAUACUUGAAGGUUGUGUCACAAAUUUUUUUGUUGUUUGUUGCAAGGGUCAGGAUUCAGAUGAUAAGGCCAAUGGAAACAAAUAUCCUUUUGAAGUACAGACUGCUCCUUUAAGUGACGGUGUUCUUCCAGGAAUAAUACGCCAAGUAGUAAUUGAAGUAUGCAGGAGUGAAGGAAUCCCAAUUCGAGAAGUUGCUCCAUCAUGGUUGGAACAUGGAAUCUGGGAGGAGGCAUUCAUCACAAGUGGCUUGAGGAUUUUGCAACAUGUCGAAAGUAUUCAGGUUCCAACAGAAUGGCAAUCAGUCCAUUCCAAAACGUGGAAGGAUAUAUCAUGGACAAAGAAGCAAUUUCAGGGUAGAUCAGGGAUGAUCACAACUAUAAUUCAAGAAAAGAUUAUGGAAAAAGCAACCCUUGAAGGAUAUUCAAUUAGCAACAUAUGCAAAGGGUGAAGAUCCAUUGAAAUGAAGAAGCUGGCCCUUCUAUUCUUCACCUCAUUAGUUUGUCCUAGUGCUGAUAAAUAAUGUAUUGUAUUCUUGGUUCAAUAGGCAGAAGAAAAAAUGUGAUCUGAUAUCCAUUUUAUUGCUCGGAACAGAAUAAUGAAUAUAUAGAAUUCUGAAAUUGAUAUUUUGGGCCUCAUGGAAAGAGAACAAAACAAAACGAAACGAAACAACAAAAAGCCACCGCUCAGUUCACUCAUCCGCCAGUGUAUUUUCUUUCUAUUACUCUCUGGUUGUGAUUCGCUCUUACACUAUUUUCUUACAUAUUUAUUCCACCAAUGCUAUCCAUAACUGCAAUUCGU